CGCUCUCACGUGGCCAAUCAUUUCUUCUCCUAUUUUAUGUUAAGUCUAUGCGCCCUUGUUUCGGAUGAUUGCCGUCAUUUUUUGCGGCUUACAAUGAUGUACGGAAACCUUACAAGGGAAAGAGCCGAUGGAUUCAUGGUUGUAAUCGUUGAACGACUGAAGGAGUGUCUAGUUGGGCCGAGUUAGCGUUACAGAGCAGUUAAAGCAGUGGCAGUUAGAUCAAUAGAAAUGCGAUAGGAACGGCCAAAUGUUGUUAAUCAGAAAAAUCAACAAUGCAGUUUAUGUACUACAGUUUUACCUCGCUUAUCACCUCAGUAAAGCCCCGUCAAACGCCUAACAAUCGUAAGUGGAGUCGAAUCCUUAAAAAAAUACAGGAAUAUGAACGGUAUGUACGAAAACUUUCAGUUUAGCAGCUAAUCGGCAAGCAAGUCUCAUUGAAGCGGAAAGCAUGGACGCAGAUUUUUUAUAUAUUUAUAUAUAAAAAUAUAUAUAUGUAUAUUUUAGGUACACCAAUCGCUAGAAGAGCAAUGUGAUCAGCAUAAGAUUACGUAAUUACAAAAAGAAGGGUAUCUAAAGCAACCUGCAAAUAGCGAGUAAUCAAAGGACCCCGCCGAACAGUGACCCAAAGAUAUUUUAUAAUUAUAGUUGUAGGAGAACAACUCUAAAGAGCUAACUGAAUUCUAUUAGACGCCCAAAUGGGACAUUCACGACGGAUGAUCGCGGAAAAAGCACAAAUUGUGCUAUCUUUGAAUCAGCAUAUAUGUGCCAAAAUAUGAAUCGCUGCAACGCAACCAAAGGCAUCCUGCCUUGCUCCCUAAAAGUCCCCUCGAAUUUUCCGUCCAUCUUGUAAAUAGAUUUAGCCCAGUAAUCAUACUGGGAAUUGCUAACCAAAGCUUUGCGAUUGCCGUCUUACUUAUAUUAUAGGCUCAGGAUCUCAUUUUUUGCUCUUUUUUCACAAUUUUUUGGACAACCUUGCGAGUGUGCUGAGGCGCUAGGCAGAUUCCAAUUAGCUGAAUAGUAUGACGCUGGCGUUAUUAGCUAUCGUGGCAUGCAUGCAAUGUGAUCGAACAAUUCAUGCAACUACUUACAAUCAAGAACUGAUCCCUGAUGCUUAGCUUGUUUACAAACCGAUACAAGACGCCAAGCUAUUAGAAACACGCUCUGAAUAAGCAAAGUUCAUUAACAUGUCUGACUGUUUCAAAGCGAAUCACCCAUUCCACUAUUCUAUACUAAAAAAGAUCGAAAAUUUUCUCAGCAAUAGCGUACAUUUUGUGUUAGAGUCGAUAGGAAGUACUCAAAUCCCCCUUGAGCCUCGUCAAGUUGCACUGAUGGUAUAAUCCUGGAGCCUCUUAUCUAUAUCUUGUUGAUGAAUCCUGUCGAUGUUGGAUUCAAUAAUCCAAAAUUGUACGCUUUCUUGUAAAAAUUGAUGUAAAAAUAUGCUAAAGAACUGGCAAACACAAUACGGUGGAACUGUUUCAAUAUAUCCUCAACAAAGCUUUAAAAUGAUCCAAUAGAUCAAAUUUGAAUCUAUCCGCUGAAAAUGUACUUUGCGCACGGAAAUCCCAAUCGUGUAUAUUUUAUUGGGUAAUUCAAUUUACCGAGAGUAAAAACCAUUUACAAUCUAAAGGUUUCGAUGACUAGUAUCUUACAUAGAACGCGCAAAUGAUAAAAAUUCGCCUACGACAUGCCGUGGUAAAUAAAUUUUACGUUCAUUCUAAAAUGCCCACCCCACCGAGUAUAAAGAUAAAAUAUCUUAUGGACCUGACCGUCAAUCGGCAUUUUGCCACGAGAAUUCUUUAGGACGGAAUCGCCGAAUCUAUUAAGAAUGUUUUCGACACAUUGUUAAAGAUCUUCUUAAAUGUUCUCAGCAAUUAGUAUGCCGUCCCGGCAUUCAACGACACCUGGUAAAUUCAGCUUCCAGAAUCUUCCAUAGACAUUUGCAUAAAUAUGAAUAAGCUUCUGUGGAUAUUUAUUACAAAAAUUAUUAUUUUGUACAAAACUCUGGAAUCCUUAUUGGACGGGGUGAUGCAUAUAUUGCAGCGUUGAGGCCUGUUUUGGUAUAACAUUUUGCUGCUUGUAUUUUGUAAAAAAAACAGUUGGCUAUUGUCCUCAAAGGGUAGCCUACAGAUAUUCAUUCAAAUUUAUACAAAUGUCUAUGGGUACUCUGGAUCAAGUUGACCAAAGAAAAUAGACACGAGCUUGGAAACACAAGGGAAGAAUAUUACGUCGGAAACGUUUUUAACGAAUUUGACAAUUAUGCCUUAAGCAUCAACGGAGAGAAACGUAGAGUCAUAACCGGUCCGAAACCAAGCGAAGGGAGUACUUCAAAAUCUGCAAGUGAGAUUUUUGCAAUUAAUGAAAACACCAAACCUAAAGAAUAGUUUCGAAUAAAAAGGAACCGUUUGGUGAGGAAAAAUUUGACUCUCUAUUUGCACCGGGACUAGCGAACAUUAAAAAAUCACUAAAUGAACCAUUACAGACAAACAUUAUGUUCGCAUGAUCUGAUGAAAAGAUAAACUAAGUCACUACAUUGAUUACUAAUGCCAUUUGAUUUUUUUAAACUAAUGGAAUGUAGAUUGAGGUCUUAUCUCAGAUAUUUCUCGACAAAGCCUAUAAUAUGUUCUGUAGUAUUCUACUCUAGAAACCUGUUCAGGUUUGAACAGAAAUACGCAGUUAAAAGCUUCAACAGUAAGAGGAAGGUUAAAAAAUCAUUAUUUAUUUGCACGGAAACUGAUUAAUUCCCUUGUAACUGAUAAUCAAGCCUUUUUAUUAAUAUUUUCCUCAGACAAAGUCAUACUUCCAAAGAAAUGUCUACAGAGAUCCGUCGUUUUUCAUCUCGACUUCGAUCGAUGUGUGACACUGAAGAACUCAGAUGAGCAUGCAAAUGCGAACGACUUUCACGUUUAUCUUAGAGUUGUGAUGACCUACCAUCAAUAUAUAUUCCGCAAGUUCUCUGCAUCAAUAACUUGCCUCAGUACCAAUCUACUGAAAACAAUAAGGGUAGAUACAACGUGUACAACAAUGUUACUUUCAGAUUUUUCAAUUGAUUGCCGAUGACGAUAUUGCCAGAGCCCUGCGGAAAUAAAUCAUCAAGGAACUGCAGAUGGUACACUUUAUGACAGAUCAAAUGAAAGGCCAACAAUUGAUAAUGAUUCCAAUAUAUAAUCUUCAGGUGUGGAGUCUUGCAAAAGUCAAGAGACACUUCUGGGAAAAUCUACCGGUUCCUUUUCUUACAACUUUGCAAAGCUCUGCUAGUCUGUAUAGAUAAUUAAGCUUAUCGACCUGGGGAGCGCAAGAAGUUCCUAACAGCUUUCGUCUUUCCCGCUUUGUGUCUGGAAUCAAAUGUCCAGCGAUAACGAAAAGCCACAGUUUAGAGCAGCGCUUGAUUAUAAGAAAAACCUUAUUGCUUAUUACUUUAUAUCGAGAUAUUUUUCAUUCACAAUAUCGAGAUGGGAAACUUAUAACGGUCACACUCCAUAAGUUGUUACGACUCAUUUUUAGCUGAAUAGAUAUGCGGGUGGUGAACCCUGUUGGACUUGGGACUCAGCGAAUCCACGGGUGAGCGCUGAACAACUACUUCACUCAUUGUGUAGCGCAGCUUGUAGAACCCACUUUAUAGUUGUGGGCCCCGCUAGCAGUGAUUAGCAGACUCCUUAGUGAAAAUAAUAACACCGAAGUGACAACCAUACAUGUUCAGUGUAAAACAUUCACACGCGCUGGUUAAUGGGAAAAAGUAGUAAGCGAAUGAUAUGCAAUAUACUAGCAAACAGUUAAAACAAUUUAUUCUCCAAAAAAGGAUCCCACACCACAGAUUAAUGAUAAAAUGCCAUCCUACAAGCUAUGGUAUUGCGAAUGACAGUUGAAGCGCACCUCGUGAAGAGGCCGGACAAUGAUGUCAGUGAAACACCAGCUUGAGACGAAGGGAAACACUCCUCUAGAUAGGGCUACGAAAUAAAUUUCCUAGCAUAUAUUAAACAGCAAAACACAUAACACGACCGGAAGAAAGCUAGAUUCUACAUAACACAAAGAAUACGUUUCGGAUUAAUAUGUAAAAGAUACGUAGACCAAAUUAGGCGAAUAGGAAACAGUUAUAGUGUUUCUCAGAAAAUAAAAGAAAUAUAGCACUUAUUUCUACUAUAUCUAGAUAAUACACAAGGGUUCCAUUAUUGUAGUGAGAAACUAAAUAGUCGUUAACAAUAUUAUUAUUUACUGUCGUAGAGAUCGGGCUCGAUUAGCAAACGGAGAAAAGGCCAUGGGUCGAUCUUCAGUGACGCUGUUUCGUUGCAACGUUAAAAUGUCUACAGCUUAGGUGACCUGAGCAGAGAUGAUCACGAAUAAGCAUGAAAACCGUUGUAUUCUGACAUAUCAUCUAUGUACAUAUAUAUACAUAAGUCAAUAAUACAAUUCCCCAUUAGUUGAAAAUGUCUAGAUUAUAAUGGAGUCUAAUUGCUUGCUUAGUUUGGUAAUUUUCAUAUUUGAAGUUUUACGUCCGGUACUGCCGUUAAGCAUCAAUUCAGUUAGCUCUUUUAGUUUUCAGCACGAAACGAAGUUUGUCUGCGCCCGGUUCUGGUCAGAGGUUCUUAGACACCGCACGAGGACGAUGUUCGAUUGUCUGAAUGAAGAAAAUGUUGUUGUUGUGAUAGAUAGUCUAACGAUUCAUUUCGACAGCGGCGCUUAUCCAAACGUUACGUUUAUAAAAUGUAUGUAUUGCCUCUAGUUGUAGCUAAUGCAUGAAAUGAAGAGAUCAAAUAUUUAUGGCAAUAGUUUAAGGAGAGUCAAAUUGGCCCUUGGCGUUUUAUCGCGCCAAAAAUCCCUUGGAUUUUCGACUCGCGGACCGACAUGGCCUCAGAUACUUGAUGCGCUCAAUCUAUGACCACUUGUAGCAAGUGGUCAUAGAUUGAGCGCUGUGUACAAUAACUGGCGCAUCUAUUUAUCUGCGUCACUAUGAAGUUCAGCUGAGUAGCGAACGGAUCGAGAAUUCACUUGCAAUUAUUGUAAAAACUAAUUCUUAAACGAUCAAAAGGAACACUCGUAACGAUCCCCAAGAUCCCCGAACUUGUGUAAUUUCAUAAAGUAAAGAACGUCGACUGCAUAUUUUUACAUUUCAUUGGGAAUCGUUUUCUCCUUGACCAGUAUAAUAAAGUCUGCAGUAUAAUAAGGACAGUUGUUAUUAUUUUAACGAAAUUGUUAGAAGUGAACGAAUAACGAAAUUUCAUUCGCCGCAGAUGUCAGGUUUUUCGUGCCUUCAAGUGCGAAUAUACACAUUGGUACAUUGAUACGAGCUAUAUUAAAGACGUUCAAACCUAGCCACUCUUUCAAUGCUACUGAUCUGGGGCUGCGCAUCCGCUCAGAUGGAGUCGGGCGGUUUUUUCAAAGUUGUCUUAUAAGGUGAUGAUAUCUCAAUGGCACGAGUUUGUCUAGACGACAAACACAAAAGGAAUCUGCUAUUCCUUAGAACCGAGCUACCGGAUAAACGAAAUUUAGUUCUUGUUCAUCACGUAACGGGAGGUAGAAUUGGCGCUGUUAGACUUUCUUGAUCCUGUGUAUGGAUGCGCAUGCGCACACAGUACUUAUCUUAAACCGUGCGAUUAAGUACAAGAGAGUUGUUAAAUUAUCAACAGUCAUAUAAUCUCAUUAUAUCGAUUCGCAGUCACGUUUCAAAAUAUCGUCUCUGCACAGUGUCUAUGCAGAGAUAUUAGUGUUAGAUGAAAUGAUAAGAAGUGUUCAAUUGCAGUAAACGUACCAAACAUGUUGUCAUACAUAUAUAUAUAUAUAUAUAUAUAUAUAAAGGGAUUUAGUCUACCUUUAGGAAAUUGUUAGCGAAUUAAUGUAGAUGAUCAUAAUACUAUGUAUUAUGGUAGCACAGGCAUUUUGUAGUAUAGUAGCUAUCUUUAAGCUGUACCAAUUUGUACCGAAAAUGAGCCGAUUUUGUGUAGCUGGCAGACAUAGCAGUACAGCAGGUAAGUUUGUAUACCUUAUCUUUUUUGUCCCUUUCGAGUUCUCAUGCAUCGACUAUUACAAUGAUAAAACUUGAAUAAAUUACCUCAGAUAGAUACAAUGGCGUACAUAGACGCGAUGUAGUUCACUUAGUAUAAGUGAAACUAUGAGCUAACUGGUUUGAGGCAGGUGUCUUAUAUGCUGAGAAAAAAAAAAUUAAGCGUUGCUGGUAGACUAUUCUUAGGUGUCCGUCCAUACUAACGCGAUGACCACCGGCUACUGUUGCAGAAGGAGGCCCAGUUCGACUGAUUUUUCGAAAGAAACCAGCGCCAUACCAACUCAGUCAUUCAGGACGGCGUAGAAAUACUGAGCGACGUCUUGCGAAUAGGCGUGGCAUAUUUCUAACAAGUACAAUAAGUAUGUGGAACCACCAAAAGAGCACAAAACGAAAAACAAAGGGGGCCGGUUCGAGAGCUAGUUUGGUGUGGAAAACCAAAAUUUCUAACGAUCAAUCCAGGACACCCAAGCCCCUCAGAGUUGAGAGACCUUAUGAAACCGGAUGAACUCCGGCCUGCUGCAGGCCUAUCUGAGCCUCGCGGAAGAUCCAGUAUGCGCCGCCCGUGACAAGUUUGGCGUGGUGCAUCGUGCUAUCCUGAAAGACAGUUCUCCUACAGGCUAUGUGGUUUGGUUAAUCGAUAAUUACAGGAAGAUAAUUGCUGCUUUACCCACAGACUAUCACCCUGAGCAGAUGCACAAUGCUGCGCUUAGUGUUAGAGUGGCCCAAUGCCAAAGCCGAUUCCUAGGCAAAAGUAAGUCAGAGGAAGGAAAUCUUUCGACGGGCCGCAGGGUGAUUAUCAGCGUCCUUAGCCAUGGCCGAAAUGAAUCGAUAGGGCCAACCGUCCUUAUCUUUGAUGAAAAUUUUGAAUCCAUUACCCACGUGUCAAGCCGCUUGUAAAACGGUCCUCCGCAAUCUCGGAUGGUCACCACCAUGAAUUCCUUAUCAUUCUGGGUUUCAAGCGCAUCUAUGUAUUCGUGAACCGCUGCCAGACCGUCAUCAUUGAGACUGCGACACAUCAUUCGGAUAACUGCGCCCACCGAUAAAUCACCGAAUGCUGAUGUCUGCUUUGUCAAGUUAUAUCAUUAAUAAAUUUCGCUUACUUUAUUUUCAGUGUAUAUAUAUAUAUAUAUAUAUGUACUGUUAUUCAACCAUUUAACGACAAUCGUACAUAUCAAAUAAAUCUAGCGGAUACUUUUCAAGCAGCCUAUACUUAAUCGUCGUCACCAAAAUGUGGUCAGUACGGGCUCGUGGACGGUGGGUUGGAAGGCACUACGAAGUGCAGUUAGAAAUAAAAGUGUG
rnacentral:lncRNA from 1 species